rnacentral:rRNA from 1 species
AGCGAACGCUGGCGGCAGGCCUAACACAUGCAAGUCGAACGAUCCUUCGGGAUAGUGGCGGACGGGUGAGUAACACGUGGGAACGUGCCCUUUGGUUCGGAACAACUCAGGGAAACUUGAGCUAAUACCGAAUGUGCCCUUCGGGGGAAAGAUUUAUCGCCAUUGGAGCGGCCCGCGUCUGAUUAGCUAGUUGGUGAGGUAAAGGCUCACCAAGGCUACGAUCAGUAGCUGGUCUGAGAGGAUGAUCAGCCACAUUGGGACUGAGACACGGCCCAAACUCCUACGGGAGGCAGCAGUGGGGAAUCUUGCGCAAUGGGCGAAAGCCUGACGCAGCCAUGCCGCGUGAAUGAUGAAGGUCUUAGGAUUGUAAAAUUCUUUCACCGGGGACGAUAAUGACGGUACCCGGAGAAGAAGCCCCGGCUAACUUCGUGCCAGCAGCCGCGGUAAUACGAAGGGGGCUAGCGUUGCUCGGAAUUACUGGGCGUAAAGGGCGCGUAGGCGGACAGUUUAGUCAGAGGUGAAAGCCCAGGGCUCAACCUUGGAAUUGCCUUUGAUACUGGCUGUCUUGAGUACGGAAGAGGUGUGUGGAACUCCGAGUGUAGAGGUGAAAUUCGUAGAUAUUCGGAAGAACACCAGUGGCGAAGGCGACACACUGGUCCGUUACUGACGCUGAGGCGCGAAAGCGUGGGGAGCAAACAGG